ACCAGCACCCCGAGUGGUCGGGACGAUUAUUGGGCCUAAAGCAUCCGUAGCCUGUCCCACAAGUCCUCCGUUAAAUCCAACUGCUUAACAGAUGGGCCGCGGAGGAUACUAUGGGGCUAGGAGGCGGGAGAGGCAAGCGGUACUCGAUGGGUAGGGGUAAAAUCCGUUGAUCCAUUGAAGACCACCAGUGGCGAAGGCGGCUUGCCAGAACGCGCUCGACGGUGAGGGAUGAAAGCUGGGGGAGCAAACCGGA
rnacentral:rRNA from 1 species